rnacentral:rRNA from 1 species
CCUACGGGUGGCAGCAGUGAGGAAUAUUGGUCAAUGGGCGUAAGCCUGAACCAGCCAAGCCGCGUGAGGGAUGAAGGUUCUCUGGAUCGUAAACCUCUUUUGUAAGGGAAUAAAGAGUGGGACGUGUCCCCUUAUGUAUGUACCUUAUGAAUAAGGAUCGGCUAACUCCGUGCCAGCAGCCGCGGUAAUACGGAGGAUCCGAGCGUUAUCCGGAUUUAUUGGGUUUAAAGGGUGCGUAGGUGGACUUUUAAGUCAGCGGUGAAAGUCCGUGGCUCAACCAGAGAAUUGCCGUUGAAACUGGGAGGCUUGAGUAUGUUAGAGGGAGGCGGAAUGCGUGGUGUAGCGGUGAAAUGCGUAGAUAUCACGCAGAACCCCGAUUGCGAAGGCAGCCUGCCAGGCCAUGACUGACGCUGAGGCACGAAAGCGUGGGGAUCAAACAGGAUUAGAUACCCGAGUAGUC